rnacentral:rRNA from 1 species
GACCUGCACGAAUGGCGUUAACGAUCUACCCCGCUGUCUCAAAUGUGGACUCAGCGAAAUUGAACUGUGUGUCAAGAUGCACACUACCCGCGGUUAGACGGAAGACCCCAUGCACCUUUACUCCAGCUUUGCACUGGUAUCAGGAUUGUGAUGUGCAGGAUAGGUGGUAGGCAUCGAAGCGGGACGCUAGUUCUCGUGGAGCCUCCCUUGAGAUACCACCCUUCGCACUCUUGAUAUCUAACCGCGGCCCGUUAUCCGGGUCCGGGACCCUGCAUGGUGGGGAGUUUGACUGGGGCGGUCGCCUCCCAAACAGUAACGGAGGCGCGCGAAGGUAGGCUCAGACCGGUCGGAAAUCGGUCGUUGAGUGCAAUGGCAGAAGCCUGCCUGACUGCAAGUCUGACAAGACGAGCAGAGACGAAAGUCGGUCAUAGUGAUCCGGUGGUCCCAAGUGGGAG